AGUGAACGCUGGCGGUAGGCCUAACACAUGCAAGUCGAACGGCAGCACAGUAAGAGCUUGCUCUUACGGGUGGCGAGUGGCGGACGGGUGAGGAAUACAUCGGAAUCUACUUUUACGUGGGGGAUAACGUAGGGAAACUUACGCUAAUACCGCAUACGACCUACGGGUGAAAGCAGGGGAUCUUCGGACCUUGCGCGAUUGAAUGAGCCGAUGUCGGAUUAGCUAGUUGGCGGGGUAAAGGCCCACCAAGGCGACGAUCCGUAGCUGGUCUGAGAGGAUGAUCAGCCACACUGGAACUGAGACACGGUCCAGACUCCUACGGGAGGCAGCAGUGGGGAAUAUUGGACAAAGGGCGCAAGCCUGAUCCAGCCAUACCGCGUGGGUGAAGAAGGCCUUCGGGUUGUAAAGCCCUUUUGUUGGGAAAGAAAAGCAGCAGGUUAAUACCCCGCUGUUCUGACGGUACCCAAAGAAUAAGCACCGGCUAACUUCGUG
rnacentral:rRNA from 1 species